rnacentral:misc_RNA from 1 species
GAUGAAGAACGCAGCGAAAUGCGAUACUUGGUGUGAAUUGCAGAAUCCCGCGAAUCAUCGAGUUUUUGAACGCAAGUUGCGCCCGAAGCCAUUCGGCCGAGGGCACGUCUGCCUGGGUGUCACGCAUCGUUGCCCCCCCAAACUCCGGUUCGGGCGGGGCGGAAGUUGGCCUCCCGUGCGUGCCUGCGCGCGCGGUUAGCCCAAAAGCGAGUCCUCGGCGACGAGCGCCACGACAAUCGGUGGUUUUUUUACCCUCGUUCCUCGUCGUGCGUGUCCCGUCGCCCGAACGCGCUCUUGUGACCCUCACGCGUCGCCUCGGCGGCGCUACCAACGCGACCCCAGGUCAGGCGGGACUACCCGCUGAGUUUAAGCAUAUCAAUAAGCGGAGGA